CUGUAUGUCACUUUCACUUGUCACUUUUUUUUAUAAGCAGUUAAUUUACAUGAACCUGUCUAAACGAACCGGCUUAAUGAAUUGGAUUUACCAAAGCUAUUUGAGAUUGACUGAGGGAAGGAGGACAGCACAUCUCUGCCCACUCUGUUGAAAGGUUCAUGCAGAUGUAGCAAUGUCACAAAAAGAAAAGCGUUAAAAAAAAAACACAUAAGCAUUUUCAUGCUUUGAAAAUACAUUUUAGUUAGUAGUGUUGGUAUUUAGUUACUGCAUCCAGUAAACUUUGCAGCCUCUGCCUAAAAUCUGAGCAAACAAUCCUCUGUCAUUCAUCCAAGUUCUGAACCGUUAAAUGCUAAUUCGAUAGCUACACCAUGCCGAGGAGGCCAGAACCAUACAAAAGUGGAGUUUUGGCGAAGUUUCGGACCCUCUGACUGAAGAGAAACUCAAGCUGGUAGAGAAAGAGAUGAAGGAACAGGAGACUCUGAUCCAGGGUUACCAUCAGGUAAGUCUCUCUCUCUCUGUCUCUGCUCAAUUUUUGACAUCUAUUAGAACGAGGCAUGCUGAAAAAUGGCUCUUAUGACAUGCAUUCAAUAUAUAUACAGUAGGUUUCAUUAACUUAUCCCUUUUCCUGGAUAUUUUCUUUUGGUGAGGUCUUACAAAUGUCAGUGAAUUAUACAAUGCAAAACUCAGUAGUCUCUCAUUUUCUAGAUCAUUUUAUGGCAUUUCAGCAUAAUGAGGCAUGUAAUUAAACACACUUCUUUUAAAAAGACACUAUUACCUCUAUCACCAGAAUUUAGAAUAACGAUGAUCAUUACUUCUCACAUUUCCUGUAAUUACAGAAGAACUCAUGGCCUUUCCAGAAACCAAAUCCAAUUAAUUCUUAUCUGGAACUAUAUUCAGUGUAAUACAUGCACUGAAUAUAUUUGCAUUUUGGUCAUUAGUAUUCAUAUGCUCCAGCAAAACAUGUCUGAAACUUCUUUCUGAUGAUUUUCACAAUAAAGGAGAAUGAAAAGCUUUAUCUGCAAAUGAAAGCGCUCCAAGCUCAAAGCAAACAAAACAAGGAGGCUUUGUUCAUGGAGAACCAGAGACUUCUCACUGAGCUACCCUUCACCAGGGACCUAUGAACAUGAAGAGCAUUCAAAGAACUAUCGGAGGGAGAAGCAUUGUUGACCAAAGCUUCAACAUUGCAGAGUUGACCAGUCAGGUACAAGCCACCCAGAAAAAGGAGGAGCGACUGCAAGACGAGAUCCUCUGGCUAAAACAGGAGAAACAAGCCGUGCAUGUAGACACGGAGAUGGUGAGGAAAGAGCGGGAGUGUACAUCAGG